GCCAGUGUAGUGUAGUGUUUUAAGUGUUGGAUUAUGACUCUGGAGACCAGGGUUCGAAUCCCAGCUCAGCCA